GCAAGGCUGCAACUCAAAGGAAUUGACGGGGGCCCGCACAAGCGGUGGAGCAUGUUGGUUUAAUUCGACGCAACGCGAAGAACCUCACCUGGGCUCGAAAUGUAUAUGAAUCCGGCAGAAACGUCGGCGUCUAGCAAUAGACAUGUAUAUAGGUGCUGCAUGGCUGUCGUCAGCUCGUGUCGUGAGAUGUUGGGUUAAGUCCCGCAACGAGCGCAACCCUUAUCUUCAGUUGCUACCAUUUAGUUGAGCACUCUGACGAAACCGCCUCGGAUAACGGGGAGGAAGGUGGGGAUGACGUCAAGUCCUCAUGGCCUUUAUGUCCAGGGCUACACACGUGCUACAAUGGCCGGUACAAACCGCUGCAACCCCGCGAGGGUGAGCUAAUCGGAAAAAGCCGGCCUCAGUUCGGAUUGGAGUCUGCAACUCGACUCCAUGAAGCUGGAAUCGCUAGUAAUCGUGGAUCAGCAUGCCACGGUGAAUACGUUCCCGGGCCUUGUACACACCGCCCGUCACAUCACGAAAGUGGGUUGCACUAGAAGUCG
rnacentral:rRNA from 1 species